UUAGAUUUACUGAAGAGUUAGAAGGAUAACAGUGUUCUUGUAAACAUUCAUCUGGCUUCCCCAAAUGUUGACGUCUUACACAACCAUGGACUGCCAUGUAGAACAGAAGCAUCCCAUUUGGAGCACUGGUGACUGAGGAUUCUGGAAGAAGGAGGCCUGGGACCUUUAAUGCUAUUACCCACAAUUUCUCCACUGCCAUGGCAGAGAACCCACCCUCAUAUGGAAGCACUUCCCUUCUGUUCUUUUCAUUCCUUCUAUUAACCUUCUCCCCAUAGACCACCCACAGGCUGCCAGAGUUCCAAACUAUCUUCCCCAAACACAACACUCACCAUGGCCCUCCUCUGUGGGCUGUUCAUUGCAAACAGAAUUAAAUUCUACCUUUUAAUGAGGCUCAUUAAAUUCUACCUUUUAUUGGCUCAUACUGCUCCCUCCAUUUUCAUUUCUCACUAUCUUUCUCUUCAUAUCUAAAACUGGAGCCACACUGCAUUGUUUCUUCUUUAAAACACUCCUGCUACCCCAGGCCUCUGUGACUGUGCAUAGGAUGCCCUCUCCAGCUAGAAUGUCUUUCCACUUCUUUCUUCCCAUGGGCUUUUUCCUAUUUAUCCAUAGCACACCUGGGAUGUUAUCGUCUCUGUGAAAUCUUCCCUCCCUCCCUCAAACUCUAACCUCUGUGUUCCCACAGCAUCUUUCACCUAUUACACAAACCUCUGUUGUGGAACACAUUAUGUUGUUUCGAAACUUUUCUGUGUCGAUUUCUGCCUUUUUUGUUGGAGUGGGAGCUCUUCAAAAGCAGGCCCUGUCUUGUUUAUUUAUGUAGCUUCAGCAAAGGGCCUAGCACCUAACAAUGUUGCCAACAUUUUUCGAGUGCCUACUUUUUACUAGCACAACAAAUUACCUCACUAAAUCUAUAAAAGAACCCUAUAAAGGAGGUAUUUUUAAAUGCUCCCUAUUUUACAUAUGAGAAAACUGAAGCUCAUAGAGCAUAAUAGACUUUCCAAGGUGACACAGCCAAUAAAAUGUGGAGCCAGAA